rnacentral:lncRNA from 1 species
CUUGAGCUAAGCUAUGACCCUAUACAUUUGCUUUACCCAACCUCUCCAUUUCCUUUAUGGUGCUUCCAAGUUCUACUGCUACUUCCCAAGAAUGGCUACCUUCUUUUAUAUGCGAAUGAAUAUGCUGCCAAAAUUGCCUAGCCUAACUUCCAAUUUCGUGUUUUUGGCUCUAAUCCUCUGCAGCCUGGCCAUUGCAUAUCAACCUUCAGUUUUAAAAUCGAUUAGUUUUGCCAGGUAUAUAUAUUUUUCUUUUGUAUUUUCUGUUUCUUUUAUUAAAAAAAAAUUGAAAUUGAAUGUUAAAAUUCUCGAAAUUUAAUUAGAUGGACCUACAGCUGAAUUUAAUUCGUG